rnacentral:rRNA from 1 species
GACGAACGCUGGCGGCGUGCUUAACACAUGCAAGUCGAACGGUAAGGCCCUUCGGGGUACACGAGUGGCGAACGGGUGAGUAACACGUGGGUGAUCUGCCCUGCACUUCGGGAUAAGCCUGGGAAACUGGGUCUAAUACCGGAUAGGACUCCGGACUGCAUGGUCUGGGGUGGAAAGCUUUUGCGGUGUGGGAGGGGCCCGCGGCCUAUUAGCUUGUUGGUGGGGUGGUGGCCUACCAAGGCGGAGACGGGUAGCCGGCCUGAGAGGGUGACCGGCCACACUGGGACUGAGAUACGGACCCGGAGCCUACGGGAGGCAGCAGUGGGGAGUAUUGCACAAUGGGCGCAAGCCGGAGGCAGCGACGCCGCGUGAGGGAUGACGGCCUUCGGGUUGUAAACCUCGUUCAGCAUCGACGAAGCGAAAGUGACGGUAGGUGCAGAAGAAGGACCGGCCAACUACGUGCCAGCAGCCGCCGUAA